UACGGGGGGGGCAAGCGUUGUUCGGAAUUACUGGGCGUAAAGGGCUCGUAGGCGGCCAACUAAGUCAGACGUGAAGUCCCUCGGCUUAACCGGGGAACUGCGUCUGAUACUGGAUGGCUUGAGAUUGGGAGAGGGAUGCGGAAUUCCAGGUGUAGCGGUGAAAUGCGUAGAUAUCUGGAGGAACACCGGUGGCGAAGGCGGCAUCCUGGACCAACACUGACGCUGAUGAGCGAAAGCCAGGGGAGCAAACGGG
rnacentral:rRNA from 1 species